GUGACAUACCUAAAACGUUGCUUCGGCGGGAACAGACGGCCCUGUAACAACGGGCCGCCCCCGCCAGAGGACCCCUAACUCUGUUUUUAUAAUGUUUUUCUGAGUAAACAAGCAAAUAAAUUAAAACUUUCAACAACGGAUCUCUUGGCUCUGGCAUCGAUGAAGAACGCAGCGAAAUGCGAUAAGUAAUGUGAAUUGCAGAAUUCAGUGAAUCAUCGAAUCUUUGAACGCACAUUGCGCCCGCCAGUAUUCUGGCGGGCAUGCCUGUUCGAGCGUCAUUACAACCCUCAGGCCCCCGGGCCUGGCGUUGGGGAUCGGCGGAAGCCCCCUGUGGGCACACGCCGUCCCUCAAAUACAGUGGCGGUCCCGCCGCAGCUUCCAUUGCGUAGUAGCUAACACCUCGCAACUGGAGAGCGGCGCGGCCAUGCCGUAAAACACCCAACUUCUGAAUGUUGACCUCGAAUCAGGUAGGAAUACCCGCUGAACUUAAGCAUAUC
rnacentral:rRNA from 1 species